rnacentral:lncRNA from 1 species
AGUCAUUUUUCUCUCCCCGAGUGGCACCGGGCUCAGCAGACCCUCUGGCCAUGAAGGCACCUUCUGACUCAAGCAGGCUGGAGUGCAAUGGCGCAAUCUCGGCUCACUGCAACCUCCGCCUCCCAGGUUCAAGCAACUCUCCUGCCUCAGCCUCCUGAGUAGCUGGGAUUACGGGUAUGCGCCACCACUCCUGG